GUCUGAAGCUUGGGCCGUCUUAAAUUUCGUCUUCUCGGUAAGGAAACCAACAACUUAAUACAAUAAAUCAGAUUAGUGUAAAAAAGAAAUAAUUGUUUUAUAUCAUUUAUCGGUUAUUCUAAUGAUUAUGUCCUUCUCGUCUAUUGAGAGUGUUAAUUGAAAGAUAUUUGUCUCAAAAGAUUGACUUUUACACAAUCAAUCUAGGUCUUGAUUCUGAAUAUUGUAUAGUUAAAGC
rnacentral:lncRNA from 1 species